UGAGGAAUAUUGGGCAAUGCCCGCAAGGGUGACCCAGCAACGCCGCGUGGAGGAUGAAUGUCGUAAGAUUGUAAACUCCUGUUAGAGGGGAAGAAUAGUACCGGUUGGACCGGUAUAUGACUGUACCCUCAGAGAAAGCCCCGGCUAACUACGUGCCAGCAGCCGCGGUAAUACGUAGGGGGCAAGCGUUGUCCGGAUUUACUGGGUGUAAAGGGCGCGCAGGCGGGAUAAAAAGUCAGUGGUGAAAUCCUACAGCUUAACUGUAGAACUGCCCUCGAUACUUUUAUUCUUGAGUUCGGGAGAGAGACGGAAUUCCAGGCGUAGUGGUGAAAUACGUAGAUAUCUGGAAGAACACCAGUUGCGAAGGCGGUCUCUUGAUCCGACACUGACGCUGAGGCGCGAAAGCGUGGGGAGCAAACA
rnacentral:rRNA from 1 species